rnacentral:rRNA from 1 species
AUUGAACGCUGGCGGCAGGCCUAACACAUGCAAGUCGAGCGGAUGAAGGGAGCUUGCUCCUGGAUUCCGCGGCGGACGGGUGAGUAAUGCCUAGGAAUCUGCCUGGUAGUGGGGGAUAACGUCCGGAAACGGGCGCUAAUACCGCAUACGUCCAGAGGGAGAAAGGGGGGGAUCUUCGGACCUCAAGCUAUCAGCUGAGCCUAGGUCGGAUUAGCUAGUUGGUGGGGUAAGGGCCUACCAAGGCGACGAUCCGUAACUGGUCUGAGAGGAUGAUCAGUCACACUGGAACUGAGACACGGUCCAGACUCCUACGGGAGGCAGCAGUGGGGAAUAUUGGACAAAGGGCGAAAGCCUGAUCCAGCCAUGCCGCGUGUGUGAAGAAGGUCUUCGGAUUGUAAAGCACUUUAAGUUGGGAGGAAGGGCAGUAAGUUAAUACCUUGCUGUUUUGACGUUACCAACAGAAUAAGCACCGGCUAACUUCGUG